GAGACGUACGAAUUAAAUCAGUCGAGGGAAGGAUAAACGUUAGAAAGGAAUUAAAGAGAAAACGAGAGUUUAUGUAAAAGAGAGUUAUAGAAUUUAUAGUGAUGUUUUGUUUUAAUUAGAAAAAUGUUGAGAGUUGUUUCAGAACGACACGUCAGUGGACGUGGCAGAAUGAACACGUGACGGGGAGGUGCUGAGACCUAGCGGAGAACGGAGGAACCGCAAGCGAGGGUUGGCGCACCUGAUGGAAUUCGGUGACGUCACGGGCUCAUACGGAGACGUGGACAGGCCGUGACCUUGUUUUGAUCAGCUGUACGGUAACUUAGCGAUAAGAAAAUAGACUAUUGGUUAAAUACAUUUAAAUUUAAGUGUGUUUUAGGAGAAGAGGAACUUUCAGUAUAUUCCUUAAGAUGAGCUGAGCAGCAGUCCAGUUUACAAGAUGACAAGAGUUUGAGAGACAAGAUACAAGAUCACUGAAACAAGAGCCAAGACUGAAGAUUCAAGAGAAGAGAAAGCUGGCAGCCAUGGACUUACAAGUGGAGAUUAAUAAGGUCAUGUAAAGUUUUAUUUUUUUUUAUGGAAGACAGUAACUGGAGUUUUUUUUUGUUAUAAACAUUAUUUACAGAACUUUUUAGGUUAUAGUAAUGUAAUGGAACUAGUGAGUUGUGGUAGCUGUCAAAAAGAACUAAUACCUUAAGUUUAAUUUUUAAAGUUAAUUUUCUUAAUUUACAGAGGGAUUAGUAGUUUUUUUUUAAACCUUAUUUAGGUUGGAAUUUAAAUACAAUAGCUUAUUAUAAAUGUGUACGAACAGUUCAAGUUCACAGUACUGAUAGGUAGGUCAGAUGAUCUUAUUGAUUUUGAUGAUUUGUUGUUUUGAGUUGAUUUUUAAGUGUUGUGAAUUAGACAAUGAAAUAGUUCUGAAAACUUAAAUUAUUUCAAGCUAAGAAAUAGUAAAGUUAAUUGUAACUCAAAGGACACCAGAAUUUAAUUUUUUUUUGAAUUAGUAAUGUUUGAAAAUUUUAUACUUCACAAGAAAGGUUAUAAACAAACAGAUCGGAUGGAACAAGGAUGCAGUAAAUCACAAUUUCAUUUAGAAUUAUUGAUUUGCUUUUGAGGUUAUGAAGGAAAAGUAGCUAUAAUUUAAAAAUUUGAAUAAAAAUGGUUUUUUUUUAAUUUGUUUGAAAUAGAAAAUUUAAAAGUUAAUUUGUCAUGAUCUAGGUGGGUGAUGGGGUGGGAAUUGGCCACUCUUUUUCCCUAUAACCUCCCUAACAUGGCCUUCUAUUACAUCUAACAGAAAAAAAAAGAAGAAAAAGAAGACUUAUUAUUAGUUAGAAUGUUUUUUUAUGAAGAUACCUGAUGAACUUUUUUUUUAUUGUUGGGAAGAAUAGUAGCAAGAUUAAUCAGAUGUUUUACUCAGAAGAAGAAGAAGAAGAAGAUAAAGCAGUUUUAUGACUCGACAAGCCAGAGAUUGGUGUUUCCCCUCUGCGCUCCUAUUGACUACGUUGUUUACUCUCAUGGGAUAGCUGGUUCGGCACCAUGGAGAGAGAUUGGUGGGCAUUGUGGUUGCCCCCAGAAGAAAAGAAGAGUAGAAGAGGUUAUGGGUGGGUCAUGUGAACUGACCUUCAACCCAGUUACUUCGUGGGGACUAUUUGCUGUAUAGAGAAGAUCAAGACUCAAGAGUUAGGGAAAAUUAUUGGAGGUCAUGUUUCCCUUCCUUAAGUUUUUCCUAUCAAAUUAUUUGCCUGAUUAGAUUAUGCUAAGGGUGGGAUACUUUAUGUUAGCAGUUGAAUUAAUUAAUUUUAUUUUUUUGUGUGUUUGCAUCCUUGCCCAUCGAUUGCAGUUUAGUAGUUAGUUUUGUAUUUGUCAGGCGUGAUGGUAAUGCCUGUUGAUGAUGUUUCAGAAUUGUAAUCUGUUCGUGAUGAGGAUGGCACAACUCCGAAGCAGAUGUGGGGAGAAGUUGUGAGCUGCCCUGGAAGCCAGUCCAGUAGCUGUUGGAGUUGAGUGGUGUUUGCUGAUGGCCAGCCCAGGGAGCUACUCUUCUCGACAACACUGACUUCGAGGAGUUGCACCAACCUUCACGAGAUAAGAGUUUAAUUAAUUGAAACACUGUAAGGACACUUAAUUUUUUUUGAAGAACGAAAGAAGUAUGGUAAUAAACGGAAACCGAAAAAAAAAAAA